UUCGAUCAGCGAGCAGGACAAUUCUCUAGCUCAGAACUCUGCCUGGAGUUGCCCCAGUAAGCAGUAAGCAGGUACUUCCCUUGUCCCAUUACAUACUCGGAUGAGGGCGUGUGAACAUCACACACACACACACACUCGCUUGCGCACACAUUCACGCGCAACACACACUCCCGUGCACACACGCGCGCUCGCACACACACACUGGCAGACACACGCCCAGCACGCGUCGCUCGGGGAGGAGAUAGGAGCGCGGCACGGGAGGGAGCCCGGGGUCCCCGGCGCAUCCUGGCUCCGGUUGACAGACGCUGGUGCCGGAGAAGGUGCGCCAGACGCGCCUCCGGCCAGGACGAUCCCGCGGACUCUGCUCACCUUAAUGUUGCCGAAGACCGAGCGGGCACAGCGGCCGGCUCGGCUAGAAGAGGCGUCGCUGCCCUGGGGCUCGCCAAGCUUGGAUUUUUUACCACCAGGAUUCCAGGAGAAGAGACAGUGAGGCUUCUCAAGGGAAGGAUUAAAAGGUUUUCCUAAAGCCGCUGCAGUGAGGAAUCCAGCUCUGGAGGCGUUUUUCCAGCUCCCUCAUUCCUGUCGUCCUGUGUGGAGGGAACCUCUCCAAGCCCACCCCAAAUUCAGGAAAAGAUGCCAUCAAUUCCCAGGAGGCUUUGGCCAAGAUAAAGUCCAAAGGAUAGAUGGACCACAUGGGCUUCUUAUUUCUACCCAAGACCUGAUAACCUUUCUGGGCCUGGUCUGGCCUGGGUCUGGGAGAUUUUUCUCCACCUGCAACCCAAGGUCCCUGGACACAGCAGCAUUCCAAAGCUGCUGAACAGUGGGCAGCCUCUGGCCGCUUCACUCAGCCACAGAGCGCAGUGCAUUCAGACAGGCUUCCCACAGCCCGGCAGCAGCCCUAACCCCAGCCUCCGGUCAGGCAUGAACUCCCGGUCCCAUCUGUCCACUGGGAGAACAUGGAACGCAAGGACAAAUACCAGCAUGGAGCACUUGGUAUGUGCUGGGCGUUCCAGGCCCUCUGCUGAGCACCCACAUGCAUGAUUUCAUGAAGCCCCAACAUUAGCCCUACAGGUCUAGAUGCUGUUACACUCUGGACUCCACAGAGAAGGAUGCUAGAGCGGUCUGCUGAAAAAGCUGUCUGGAAGCCACAUAGCUAGCAAGUGGUGGAGCUGGACCCUGAAUUCAGCCUUGCCUCACUCCAAAGCCCAGGCUGGAAGUACUGUGCCUUCUGAUCAGUUGCCUGGUCCAACAGCCCCAUUUUGCAAGUUGAACCAAACAGGGACCAGAAAACCCCCAGGCCAAGGUUACAGGCACCUUAGGGCUACCAAAGCUGGAGCUUCUUUCUCAAACCCUGAGGCCAAACUAUGAUCCUCUGGUAGAAACCCUGUGAGGAUCAGCCUCUCCAACCCUCACCUAGUCCUGUUCCAUUAACCUGGCCCUCUGCCUCCCAUCAGUGCCAGCAUCAUCUCCAAAGGAAAAGCCUAUUCAGAAAUGUUUCAUUGACCUUUACUGGGUGGAGUUCAGCUAAAUGUAAUGAAGAGCCAACCAAAAUGACUUAAAUGAGAUUUAUUGGUCUCUCAUAAUAAGAAGGCUGAUAGUAGGUAGUCCAGGGGUCAGGACUCAGCCUUUCAAGAUUCCUUAGCCUGUGGUUCCCAACCCCAUGACUGGCUCAUUGUCACAAGAUGGCUGCUCCAUCUCCAGCCUCCUCUCCUAAUUCCAGGAAAGAUGCCGAAGACAGGAAACAGGAAGGAGCCAUACUUACAUCAAGGGAGCACAUCUCUCCCUUGCAUGCACAGCUGGUUUUCCUUAAGUCUUCUUGGCCAAAUAUGGGUCACAUAAGUACCCCCUGCAAAGGAUGCUAAGAAGUAUAGUUAACACUAUUGCUGUCCUCUGAACACAACUGGGAUUUUAUUAGGGAAAAGGGCAAAAAUAAUAUUGUGUUUUACAUUUUCAACACUUACAAAUGAAGUAACCCAUUUCCUUUCAAGAGCAUCCCCAGACUUUCCAUCCUUAAAUUUCAGCAAAUAUUUCCUAGUUCUGAAAAAAUACAAAAAAAAAAAAAAAAAAAGGCUGGACAUGAUGGCUCAUGCCUCUAAUCCCAGCCCUUUGGGAGGCUGAGGUAGGCGGAUCACUUGAGGUCAGAAGUUCGAGACCAACCUGGCCAGCAUGGUGAAACCCUGUCUCUACUAAAAAUAAAAAAUUAGCCAGGCGUGGUAGCAUGCGUCUUUAGUCCCAGUUACUUGGGAGGCUGAGGCAGGAGAAUUGCUUGAACCUGGGAGGCAGAGGCUGCAGUGAGCCAAGAUCCUGCAUUCCAGCCUGGACAACAGAGUGAGACUCUGUCUCAAAAAAAAAAAAAAAAAAAAAGCGAAACCACAAGAACAUCUAGUCUCAAAGACCCUAUGCUGUCGGGGUGGGAAACAAGAAGAGAAAGCAUGGCUGUGAUGUAGGAAGAAAGCCACUGAGCACUGUGAUGUAGGAAGAAAGCCACUGAGCACUGUGAUGUAGGAAGAAAGCCACUGAGCACUGUGAUGUAGGAAGAAAGCCACUGAGCACUGUGAUGUAGGAAGAAAGCCACUGAGCACUGUGAUGUAGGAAGAAAGCCACUGAGCACUGUGAUGUAGGAAGAAAGCCACUGAGCACUGUGAUGUAGGAAGAAAGCCACUGAGCACUGUGAUGUAGGAAGAAAGCCACUGAGCACUGUGAUGUAGGAAGAAAGCCACUGAGCACUGUGAUGUAGGAAGAAAGCUACUCAGGUGCUAUGGGAGCAUGAAUAUGGGGCCCUAAUUCACCUUGGACAGCAGGAAGACUUCCUGGAGGAGGUGACUGUCAAGCUGAGCCUUAAGAAUUAGUAGGAUUGAGAGGAUUAGGGUAAAGAGGGUAAACCUAGUUCACAGUUCCAGUCUGUUUAGUUUCAUUCUGGCUGGCGCUCAAGACCAAGCACAGUGGGUAUGUGUGAAGCAAAGAGCCUAGGACUUUAGGCUUUCUACCCUGCACAGUGGGGGAGCUGUUAAAGGCUUCUGAACAAGGGUAACCUGGGCUAAUUUGUAUUUUGCAUGGACCUCUCUAGCAGCCAGGGUGGAAGGAAUCCCAGGAGCUAUGAUAAAGGCCUGCAUGGCAGCAGUGGGAUGGUGGUAGGAAGGAGAGAAAAGCUCAAAGAAUGUCAAAGGGAGGUGGCACCCACAUGUCAGUGUGGAGAGAUGUUAGUGAUGACUCCCAGGAUCUGACUUGGGCAACUAGCACUGGUGAUGCCCACUCCUGACAGAGGGGCCCAGAAGGAGCAGCCACUACUGUAGGAAGCCAGUGAGUCUCCUAGUCACAUUUUGAAUUCAAAUUUCCCAGACUACACCCAAGUAAAGCUGUUCAGGAGGCAGAUGGCUCUAUGGGUCCAGCACUCAGGGUGGACACUGGGUUAGAGAUAACAGGCUUGGAAAUCCCACGUGGAGGUGGUGGUUAAGCCUCAAGAAUGGAUGAGUCUCCUAGGGAGACUAUUGAAGAGAAGUAGGUCCAGGAUGGGCCGCAGCAAGAUCGGGGGUGGCCCAAGGGAUGGGGCCAGAGUGGAGGAAAGUAAACCAGGGGAGGAGGUGUUGAUAGAGCUGAGGGUACUCUUUCUUUUCUUCUUUUUUUUUUUUUUGAGAUGAAGUCUUGCUUUGUCACCAGGCUGGAGUGUAGUGGCACGAUAUCAGAUCACUCCAACUUCCAUCUUCUGGGUUCAAGCGAUUCCCCGGCCUCAGCCUCCUGAGUAGCUGGGACUACACAUGUGUGCCACCACGCCCGGCUAAUUUUUGUAUUUUGGUAGAGACGGGGUUUCACCAUAGUCAGCAUGGUCUCGAUCUCCUGACCUCAUGAUCCGCCCACCUCGGCCUCUCAAAGUGCUGGGAUUACAGGCGUGAGCCACUGCACCCUGCCGACGCUGAGGGUACUCUUUCUAAAGGGAGGAGGGCAGGACGAUGGCCAGGCUGCUGAGGAGGCGAGAGAAGGCCUGAGGAGUGGCCACCAGGCUGGCAAUGCUGGCAUUGAGGAACUUGGCAAGAGUGACUGCAGUGGGUGUUACGGGCAGGAGGAACUGGAAAGGAGAAAGUACAAGUAGAAACCAUCAACAACUUUCCCAAGGUUGCAGAGGGAAGGAGAAAGACAGGGAGCAGCUGAGCAGCUCCGGGCUCGCCUCUCUGCCUCAAUUGUCUCCAGCUGUCUUGGGCCUCCUGCUGGGGCAGCUGCAAAUUCAUUCCCACCUCUGGGCUUUUGCUCAUGCUGUUCCGCUGCCUGCACUGCCUGCCUCACAAUGCUUGACUUCUACUCCUCAAGGAGUGGCUCAUGUUGUCAUUGCCUGUUCUGGCCCCAUAACAACAGUAGAGUCAUGUCUUGCUGUGGUACAGUCCUGGAACGCACAGACCUGGUAGUCAGACAAAGUUGCUGACUACCUUUGAUACUUUGCUUAACCCACUGGAUCUGCGGUGCCUUCUCUUCAUGAUGAGCUGUUACGACGUGCACAUGAGAUGAUGCAUGGAGUGCCUGGAGCAGAGUAAGGUCUCAGUGCUGGGAAGCUGCCGUUGCUGUGGGGGCUGGUGGUACUGAUGUUAGUAAGCUGCACUCUAGGUCUCUUCCUCCAACUCAGCGGUGAGCUCUUCGAGGGUAAAGGUUCUGUGUCAAUUCUCUUUAUAUCCCCAUUUGACCUAACAUAUUCCAUUGCUCAAAAAUGUUUAUUAAGUGCUAUUAAGCAGAAAUGAAUUCUAAAAUGGCCCUCAUGACUAGAAAAGGCCUCGUUGGUCCUAAACCUCCAUGCCAUUGUUCUCUCUGCCCGAACCCCACUCCUUCUGCCCCAACCCCACUCCUUCUGCCCCCUGGGGGCCUCUGCUUGUCUCUGGGUCUCAUCCUUGUCUCUUCUCACUGGUGGCUGGCUGUGAAUUUGGUGAGCCACACUGCCUACUCCUGUAGCAGCUGAUGAAGCUUCCUUGACAAUCUAGAUACCCAAGUGUGACCAUGGAUUAACUCUCAACAGUGACUGCCUCUCCUGCGUCCGAGGGCAUGUUUGCCGCAAGUACUCCACUGCUUUGUCCCUGUCACUGGUGGGGCAGUCUAUUUCUCUGCAAGUCACUCUGAUCACUAUUGUAAUUUUUAUUAACAGUGACAACAGUCUGUGCCUGGUGCCUGGUUCUAGUACAAGUUUGAUUCUUCUUCUUUUUAUUUUUUUUGAGACAGAGUCUUGCUCUGUUGCCCAGGCUGGAGUGUAGUCUCUGCUCACUGCAACCUCUGCCUCCUGGGUUCAAGUGUUUUUCCUGCUUCAGCUUCCUGAGUAGCUGGGAUUACAGGUGCCUGCCACCACACGCAGCUAAUUUUUUUGUAUUUUUAGUAGAGACAGGGUUUCACCAUGUUGGCCAGGCUGGACUCAAACUCCUAACCUCAAAUGAUCCACCCACCUCGACCUCCCAAAGUGCUGGGAUUGUAGGUGUGACCCACCACACCCCGCCAAGGUUGAUUCUUUCAAUCCUCAAAACCACCCAAUGAGGGAGGUUAUUUUCAUUUGUUCCAUUUUACAUGAAUCUCAGCAAAUAUUUCCUAGCACUGAGAAAAUACAAAAAUAAAAAAUAAGCCACAAGAACAUCUCCUGACCUCAAAAACUCUACAGUCUCAGGGUGGGAAACAAGAAAAGAAAGGGUAGCUAUCAUGUAGGAAGAACACUGUUGUGCUCAGCUGCUAUGGGAGCAUGGAAGAGGGGCCCUAAUUCACCUUGGGCAGCAGGAAGACUUCCUGGAGGAGGCGAAUAUCAAGCUGGGUCCUAAGAACUAGUGGGUCUGAGAAGAUUAGAAACUGAGGCACAGAAAAGGAAAAUAACUUGGUCAGGCCACAUGUAUAGUAAGUGACGGAGCCAGGAGUAAAACCCAGGCAGCCCAGGUACAGAAUCUAAGCUGCUGGCAAACUGCUCAAAGGGACUGAGCCAUAGCAUGUGGGCAGAUCAGGUCCAGCGCCCACCCACAGCACAACCCUUCAGGGUCAGAAGCCCACGUUAGUACCUCACCUAUCCCUGCCCCUCAGAAAGCCCUCCUUUUCUCUUCCCAGUGAUGCCACCUUAGCAACCCAGGUGACACCCAGCCUGGUGAGUUCUUCCUACAUGAAGGCCUGAGCGCAGGCUGGGGCCACUGGUGGGCCCUCACUAGAUCCAGCCCCAAGAACCUCUUUUCUGCUCCUGCUGACUGCACAUUCCAUUCCUCCUGCAUGGCUUUCCACGGUACCUACUGUGUCCCAUUCUACCUCCCACCCUCUCCUCUCGCUCAGGACCUGAGGCAGACUUUGCCCUCCUGCCCCCUGCCUGAGAAAACGCAGUGUGGCAAGGGAGGGGCACUACAGCACCAGAGUGUCCUCCUGGGACCCUAGCUGCUCUGCAUUUUCCCUGGAGUCCACCCCUCUGGGCACAGCGUCUAGCACAGGAUGGUGGGGUUUCCACCGUCUUCCAUGAAUGAGUUGCUCAAGGCCUAGUCUGGCUGCUCCAGCUCCUGGUCUCACCAAGUGGAAGUCAUCUGAAGCUUUUGCAGGAACAUGAAAAACCCCAACAGGCCUCACUGUGCACCCCUCCCCUGUCCAGUCCCUCAGUAACUUCCUCCCUGGGGUGGGAGCCCCAGUCUGGCCCUGUCUGCACGUCAUCCACCUGGAUUCAGAUCAUACCCUUCCCCCACAGGUGCUUAUCACAGCCCAUGUGCCUGCUUAUCAGCACUGCUGUGUGAUAACCAGCCACUCCUGGGGAGCAGGGAUUCCAUCUCUGCCUCUGGAUUUUGCCAGGAUCACUCCACACAUGUUCAGUGGGCACCUAUAAAGUUCUCAGUCCUGUGCUAGGCCGGGGGCCCAGAGGAUCCUGCCAUUUUGCUGUUGCCAAGCAAAUAGAGAACCAUACUUUGUCUCUGCUCUGAUGCUUGUUUUUAAACUGCUUGCUAAUUUUUAUUUUAUAUUCUUUCAAAAAUAACUGUGUUUUUGACUCUACUGAGGGAGGUAAAAUAUUUGUUUCAUUCACCUAUCAUUCCACAUUGCUAUUUAAAUUUUACUGAAUUUUCUACUUUUUGGAAGUAGAAAAAUUUUCCAAUUUUUCCCGUAAGCACGUUUUUACUGAGCAAAAUCAUGGCAUACUGUUAGUAUCCCACCUUUUACAGUGAGCAUCGAUCCGUGCUGCCAGGAGCUCCUGUUUAUCAUCUCUCUAAUGGCUGCAUGGGCAACCAGGAAUUACUAAGAUACUUAAACCCUCUGCGGGUGUUGAAAGUUGAGGAUGCCUCUACCUUUCCUCCUUUACAGUUAGUGGCUUGAUGGAUAACGUUUUGCAAAUAGUUCUUUGCCUUAGGACUGACUGGCAGUGAUAUCACUACCAAGCCCAGCAGGUUUUAAGACUUCUAGAUAUUUUUCUCUAUGAUAUUCAAACUAAUUCCUCACACUAAUUCAAACCAAUUCCUGCGUUUCUAUCCCUUAGGCCCCUUCUUCCUCACAGUGACACGACUCCUGGCCCCUAUAGAGCAAGGGGAGCCCCCCAAGGAGAAUGGCAUGACAAUACCAGCUGUAGAGCUCCACCCCAUUCCCUCCCCAGACCUUGGGGACUCCUCGGGGCCAUCCUUGUCCUCAGCGGUCCAGGCAAAGCUCUGGAGCUCUGAAAGCCUCAUCCCUUUCACUGCCCCGGCCAACUUGGGGCUCACCCACAGAUGCAGUGGGUGUGGCUGCCUUGAUCUGGCACCCUCACCACCCCCAGUUCUAGAGAAGGAACUCAGCACCCAGGAUUAUAGGCCAGAGACCUUAUGUGGGUGCCUUCCCAGCAAGAGCUGGAUUCCUCACUGGCAUAACUGAAGUGUGAGAUUUUAGGUCCAAAGCCAGGCUGUUCUCUUGAUCUGUCCCAGCACUGCCAGCUUAUUAGCUAUGUGACCUCAGGCAAGUCACCUAACUUCUCUGUGCAGCUUUUAAUUCUCAGAGGUGCUGUGAGGAGUGAAUUAGCCUCACAGCCCUCAAUAAUGGCCACAAUUAUUACUAUUGUAUUUUUCUUCUUAAUUUAGCAGUGCUUCCCUUAUGGUCCCCUGUUCUUCCCCCGGUCAUUCCCCACUUUUCUCUAUAGAAGGCUCAGCUUUCUCUGGGGCCUGGGUGGCUCUACAGCUAGUAUAGUAUUUACAGCUCGUGGGAAGAGCCUCGGGACACUGCCUCCCCUCUUCUCCCUGAAACUUUCUCUCUAUGUGCAUCUAUGCCAGCCCUGGAACUCUGUCCCUCUUCCUUGGGAGCCCAAACCCUGGGCUGCAGCAGGACACACACACGCAUGCACAUACCCACACAGGCACACACAGGGACACACACACAUAUACACACAGGUACACACAUGCACAUGCACACAUACACACGUGCAUACAGACACAUACACACAGGCACACACACGCACAUGCACAUACAUGUGCACACACAGGCACACACGCACACAUGCACAGAUGCACCCAGGCACACAUACAUACACACACGCACAUGCACACACAGGCACACACACACUCUUGGCAGGCAGGUUUCCUUAAUCCUGUCUUGGCAUUUCCUGUUAGAAGCGCUCUCCUUGUGUCUUCACUUUGCUUAUAACAGAGCCAGCUCAUGAAAGCCCUCAAGAGGAGAUUCCCUGUGCAUCCUUAUUUGUUUUCUGGAGUCCCACAAUGUCUGCGUCACUUGUAUAACCACUCUGGGGCUCGUGUACCCUGCCCUGGGUCCUGCCUCUGGUCUGGGCCCACGCGCUCCCACCUGCCCUGGACUCACUUUUGAGAGGGAUCUCUUUUCUCCUCAGUCUUGCUUCUUGGGCCCCCUUCUCUCCUCUGUCUUUAUUUGCCCAGGUCUGUGGCUUCCUCGUUUAUUGAAAGGCCCCAGGCUCCCUAUUUCCUGCCUUCCUACACCUCAGCCCCUGUCCACACAGCCCAAGAAAUACGUAUCGAGCCCUGUUUUUCUCUCACCUGGAAAAGGGGUGCACCCUGCAUUGCUGUGCACACGCCCUCUCUGCACUGUUUGGACUGACCCAUAUCAGGUAGAUUGUGAGCCUUCAGGGCAGGGACCAAGUACAAACACAAGUGCAGAUAGCAGGAUGCCACUGCCGGAGACACAGCAGGGCUGAUCUGUCAGAAGAGCCUGCCUCUCCCACCACUCCUGCAUGAGGGGUGAUGGGAGACACACGUAGGGCAUACCUGAUUUUCCAAUUGAACAAAGUGGGGGCCCAGGGAACUGAGGGUGGACAGCGGCUCCUGGGUCCUGGACCACAGCCUCUCCCUGUGCUUGGCCCCUGCCCCAGGCCAGCCUGGCUCUCCCAGUUCUGCCUUCUCUGCUGUAAACAUCAAGGCAAUAAAAGCUCAGUGAGACCCUUUACCUGGGCCCUGGUCUGCAACACACCCUGGACCCAGUAUGGUGCUCUGAGUCACCUGGUGAAGUCACUAGAAGUCAGGCCUCCUCCCUCUUCCUGGUCACAGGGAGGGAGUGCCUGGAGGUGUGGCGCCGUUGCAGGGCAUUCAGGAAGAGAAUGCUCACUGCUUCCCUGUGCAGGCAGCAGGUGAGGAGGCCGAGGAGAAUGACCAGGGAGGACUCUGACCUGAGGACAGCGAGCCCACGGCUCUCUCACACCAGGGUGUGGAGACUAAAUGCACGCAGGAGCUCCUGGCCUCACCAGCUCUGAGCACCUCCCUCCAGCGACAGUAGUAGGAGUGAUGGUCAGCAAGGUAGAAUCUGCUGUUGAUCCCUCCCCAAAUCUGUCCCUCUUCUGCUGAAAGUUCCCCCACCUUCCUUUGGGGUCCCAGCCCUCCCCACUCUCAGGUUCUGAGGCCCAGGCAAGCUAUGCCUACUGGGGCAGGAGGGCAUUGCUCCUUGGGCCCCCUGCGGGAGCAACCAGGACAGUGUGGUCUCUCCCAGGGCCAGGGUCAAGGCAGAGGGCCACCUCCCUCAGUGUCAAGGUCUAGGGAGCCCUGGAGAGAAUCUGCCCCAGGAUGUGGCCACGGAGAGCAGCAGGAGUGUGGGCCAGAAGUCACCAAGGCCCAUGGCCACAUCCUUCAGGCUCUAGGUCUCAAUGGACCAUUGCAUCUGGUCUUUGCAGUUCUGUGAGCCAAUAAAUUCUUUUUAUAGCUUAAGCUUUGUUGAGCUGGAUUUCCUGUUGCUGGCAUAUGAAGAGUUCUGUUGACUCCAAUAAACCAAGUUUUCAGCAACACCAGGCAAUUCACACAGUGGCCUCAGAGCCAGCAUCUCACUUAACUGUACAGCUCCCUUACAAAGUGAGUCUGGUUGUUGUAAUCUGUGUUUCAAAGAACAGGAACCAAGGUUUGGUGAUUAAGGGCUUCCCGGUCCCUGUGAAAGAUAGUGUGACCUGGAACCCCCACUGUGAGAUGUCCUUGUGACUGGGCACCUGGGACUUAGGAAUACAGACCUUGUUGUCCUGUUGGGUCUCAAGGAGCUAUUGUCUUUGCUGGGAUCAGACCCUGUUGGCUAAGAAGGUACUCAGGGUAGAGGAGAGACCACCCUGCAUGUUGGGGAGAUGGUGAAUCUGCCAUCCCAGUUGACAACACCUUUAGGGGGUUCUUCCCAGUCAAACUCGGCUGUCUAUAAGGUUUUGUGGGGGAGAUUCACACUAAGGGCAAUGGAGAGGACAUUUUCAUCAGAUCAAUGCAAUUGAUAACCCAUAUUUUAAGAUUUCCUUGCUGAUCAGCCACCUUCCAGCACUCCUUUGCUCCUGCUAGCCUUAUGAGCAAAAAUGAUGGUCCAUGGAAUUGCAAUUGGCUAAGUCUCUCAACAAAAAUGACUUAGGAUAAUCUUAAACUUUGUUGGCAAAAAUGGGGACUACUUCAAAAUCCCAAAGGACUUGCCUAUUUGUAUGCACAAUUGGAGCAAAGAAAAUACUGAGCCUCCCAGAGAAAAUGGAAAGGAAGCCUAUUUCUCAGUUGGCCCUUUGAAAGUUCUAAAUGGAAUGCCUCCCUUAGGCACCUCUUGCCCACCUCUGCCUGACUUCUGCACCUUUUUCACCAUCCUGCUCUAUUGUUUAUUCCCUCCUUCUUCUUUCACUCUUCCAGCUGAUUAUCUCGAAAAUGUUCCUAAGUUUUCUCUAGGCUCAUCUGCAUGCUCCUUUGUAAAAUUGUGUGAUAAAUUCCCAUGAUUUAUGUUACCUUUGCAUGCAUUUUAAUCCUCCUUUAGGACACCCAAACACCUUCUUGAGAAAACUUCUCUGUGUACUUGAGAUGUAAACUUGUACCCUGUUCUAUCUAAAAUUUAGUAAGGGCUUUGGCCACGGGGGACAGAUAAAUUUCAGCCUGUUCCAUUUACAGAAACAUGGUUUGAAUCCAACUGUUCUUUUAAACUAGUGAUUUUUUAAAUUAAAGCUGUAAAUUCUUUGUGUCUUUUUGUAUUGUUGUGUAUACAUUUGUAUACAUAUCUGUUUGUAUAUUGUCUAUGGUAUCAAAUUGGUUUAUACAUAAAUGAGUACUCACAAAUUAAGCAAAUAAGGCCAAAUACUUUUCAAGUUCAUGUAACUUAGUAAUCUUUUGGUGGGUGGGAUCAGUCUAAUAUUGUUGGUUUGGUGGGAAUCACUAUGUCUUCUGAGUUAUUAGAAAAAUGUGCAUGUAUUUAACUUUAGGGUUCUACCUUUUAUGAUACUUGACUUGCAUGCAGUCAUGUAAAUUUGGCUGAUGAAAAAUUUAGCCUAAGAUGGUAGCUAGAUUUGUCUAGUGUCUCAUGAAGUUUUCAAAAUAUAAUUGUUAAAACUGAAUGAAUUGAAUGGAUGUAAAUGAAAUAAAAGUUUGUAAGUGAACUGUUGAUAA